rnacentral:rRNA from 1 species
AUUGAACGCUGGCGGCAGGCCUAACACAUGCAAGUCGAACGAGUGGCGGACGGGUGAGUAAUGUCUGGGAAACUGCCUGAUGGAGGGGGAUAACUACGGGAAACGGUAGCUAAUACCGCAUACCAUCGGAUGUGCCCAGAUGGGAUUAGCUAGUUGGUGGGGUAAAGGCUCACCUAGGCGACGAUCCCUAGCUGGUCUGAGAGGAUGACCAGCCACACUGGAACGGAGACACGGUCCAGACGCCUACGGGAGGCAGCAGUGGGGAAUAUUGCGCAAUGGGCGCAAGCCUGACGCAGCCAGGCCGCGUGGGUGAAGAAGGCCUUCGGGUUGUAAAGUACUUUCAGCGAGGAGGCGUUACCCGCAGAAGAAGCACCGGCUAACUCCGUGCCAGCAGCCGCGGUAAUUC